GUAUUUUUGUAAUACUCAAACUGAAGCCUUAAUCCCUCUCGGCCUCUCUGAUCUGAGCUCUGGUUCUGUUCUUGGCUUCUUGAUCGAGUUAUCUUUCUUGCUUUUAGAUUAAUUUCUACCUCCUCCUUUUUCCUCUGCUUCUGAUAAUCCCCGUUUUAUGUUUUAUAAUGAUAGAGUAGAGCCGAAUUUGAGCGUAUUUACGGGCUUAUAUGCUGUCAUCGAAGAUCAUUUCCUCUCUUUGCUUUACAUCUUUUUCUCUCUCAGAAAAAAAAAAAUGACGGCUUUGGGACAGUCAUAUGGAAGUUCCUUUCGCUCCGCCUUCCUUCAGGUGGCCGUCAACAGGUUUUCCUCUCCUGAGUUGCUGGACUUCAUUCGUAGAUGGGAGAUCUGACUUGGGCGAAGUGAAGUCACUGAAACAGAAGUCAGACAUGAUUCAGGGCUUAUCUGAUGAAGCUGACGUGAAGCAGUUCACCAGCUUUCCUGUAAUAGUGUGGCUCGACGGCCUCAAACAACUUCUCUAUGAUGUGGAUGACAUACUGGAUGCGUUUGCCACUGAAGUUCUACGGCUGAAAUUGAAAUAUGAAAAUUAGACCCACCUUCGCCAAACCCAACAGGGAAUUGGAAGGUUUGGAUCAAAAGUAAGGGAAGAUGAGAGUUUAAAAGGUAUAGCCCAAGAAGGUAUUGUUCUAGGUUUGAAUCCUAGCAUAGCAUCUGGGUCCUCAAGGCCCAAGGUAUUCAGUCAGAGGCCACGGACGAGUUCUUUGAUGAAUAGUUCUAAAGUUUUUGGCAGAGAGGAAGAUAUAUGGAAGAUUGUUAAAUGGCUGCUAUUAUACAAAACUCUAAGUGAUCCGGGUAACACUGGUAGUAAUUUCUCGGUGCUUUCCAUAAUAGGCAUGGGUGGAAUUGGAAAGACGAACCUUGCUCAACUUGUUUAUAAUGAUGACAUGAGGAAUGAGAACUAUGGAAGAUGGGAUGCUUUAAGCAGCGCCACCAAAAUAAUGAAGCAAGUGUUAGUUAUAACAGGGACAAAGGGGUGUAUCAAUUGUGCGCACUGAUCCAAACAAUCAUGAUCAUGAUCUUAAAGUUCUCUCAGAUAAUGCUUGUUUGGCAAUGGUUAAAAGACAUGCUUUCAUGGAUGGAAAUUUAUUAUUUGACGAUGCAAAUGAAAAGCUGGAAGUAUUUGGGGAACAAAUUUUGAAGAAAUGUAAAGGUUUAUCUUUGGCUAUCAUCAUCUUCCUCCACAUCUGAAGAGGUGCUUCACAUAUUGUGGUUUAUUUUCCAGUCACUAUGAAUUCAACAAGAUUGAGUUGGUAAAAUUAGGAUGGCGGAAGGUAUUGUGCAACCAAAAAGAGUCUUUGACAUAUUUAAGAAUCGUCCUUAUGACAAAAUAUACAAGUUGAUUUGGAAAUGCUAUGAUAGGUGGUGGUGAUGAAUGGGAUUAUGACUAUUACAGUUUUUUAGAAUAAUGAUAGAUAUUCAUAUCAUGACUUAUUACAAUGUUUUGGCGUAAAGUAAGCAACCAAAAUUUCUGGAUCAUCCAAAGUGAUGCAUGAUCUCAUCUACGAUUUAGCACAAGUUAUCUCCGGUGAUAUGUGUUUUAGGAGAGACGCUGAUAAGCCAUCCAAACUUUCUGCAGCAACUCAUCACUUAUCGUAUGACAAUGCGGCGGCAACUUUUAGGGACAUCAAAGAAAUGAAGAGCUUCCGCACCCUUCUCAAAUAUUCUAAGAAACUCUUCAGAAAGCAGGUUAAGCCGAUUUUCCCCACUACACACCAAUUCCUACGGGUCUUUUGUUUAACUGACUUUUUAAAUCGUGGGUUAUUUGAAACAUCUAUGCCUUCUUGAUCUCUCAUUCUCGGAAAUUUUGUGGUUACCCAAUUCAAUUGGAAGUUUGUACAAUUUACAAACAUUGAUUUUACUUGGGUGCGCCAAUCUUAGAGAGUUGCCUAAAGAUAUGGGUGACCUCGUAAACCUUUGGCAUCUUUUUUUCCUUAAAAAUUCAUGGCUACGGAAAAUGCCAUUAUACCAUCUUUCACCAAUAGAAAUGCAAAAACAUGGGGACCAAGGUUUGUAUCACAACUGUGAUGAGCGAUUUACCCCAAUUAUCGGUGAAAACGGUUGUUUCUAAUAGAGGUGUACGAGCUUGAUGAUGAGAAGCUUCAAGGAGACGUUGAUGGUGACUAUGCGAUUGCAGUAACUUACAGAGAAAAGACUCUUAUUCCUAGUCCUUGAGGACAAGGAAUUUGUAAGGGGGAGAGAGUGUUAUGGUGCUACCUACGUGCAAGAUCCUUCCAAACAAUUGGCAGGAAGUUAGAUUUAGUUAUAUUAUUAUAUUUCAUGGGUAUUUAGUUGAUACCUAGUGGGCAGUUUUUUUUUUUGGUAACAGAAUCUUGUGUCCUGAAAUGCGAUGAUUGCUGGGUGUAUGAAAUCUGGUGACUUAAUGGGUGCAAGGAAUCUGUUUGAUCAAAUGCCAGAGAAGGAUGUGGUUUUUUUUCACAUCGUUGAUAUGUGGGUAUGCCAAGGCAGGUGGUAUGGCUUCUGCAUGAUUUCUAUUUGAUCAAUCUCCAGUUAGAGAUAUUGUAUCAUGGUCUGGUUUGAUAUCAGGCUAUGAGCAGAAUGGUAAACCAAAUGAGGCUGUUAAAAUUCUGAAGAAAAGUUCGGCUACCUUUGGAUUAUUCCUUAACAAGCCUGAAACUUAUUCCAUACAGGCUUCGCAAAAAUCAUCACCUUCUUAAGACAGUAGCUCAUGUCACACUCUUAGAGGUUUUUUUGGAUGUAUUUUCUCUCAGAGAUUGGCUAGAGGUGUCUGGCUGAGUGAAUCAUCUGGAUGGUUGAUUUGGUGGUUCAUGAAAUAAGAUUAGCCCCUCACAAAUUGAAGCUCAUACUGGAUAGGCUGCUAUGCGUCAACUCUGAGUUGCCUCUGAUGUACAAUUUUAAUCAAUUAUUGUUGGAUGAUAUGGAUUUCUAAUCAACCUCGCCCGUUUCUUCAUGCUCUGCCUCAUUGGGUACACCAGGACCACCCUUGGUCAAUUUAUCAUUUAUCAUUUUUUGUUUUUUAUUUUUUUUGCUCAUUUCGAGAAGAAGAAAACUUGCAAUAAAUAAAAAUCAGUUACU